rnacentral:rRNA from 1 species
CCCAUAUAGGGGAAGGCCAAAACAUUGCAAGUCGAGCGGAUGACGGGAGCUUGCUCCUUGAUUCAGCGGCGGACGGGUGAGUAAUGCCUAGGAAUCUGCCUGGUAGUGGGGGACAACGUUUCGAAAGGAACGCUAAUACCGCAUACGUCCUACGGGAGAAAGCAGGGGACCUUCGGGCCUUGCGCUAUCAGAUGAGCCUAGGUCGGAUUAGCUAGUUGGUGGGGUAAUGGCUCACCAAGGCGACGAUCCGUAACUGGUCUGAGAGGAUGAUCAGUCACACUGGAACUGAGACACGGUCCAGACUCCUACGGGAGGCAGCAGUGGGGAAUAUUGGACAAUGGGCGAAAGCCUGAUCCAGCCAUGCCGCGUGUGUGAAGAAGGUCUUCGGAUUGUAAAGCACUUUAAGUUGGGAGGAAGGGCAGUAAGUUAAUACCUUGCUGUUUUGACGUUACCGACAGAAUAAGCACCGGCUAACUCUGUGCCAGCAGCCGCGGUAAUACAGGAGGGUGCAAGCGUUAAUCGGGAAUUACUGGGCGUAAAGCGCGCGUACGUGGUUUGUUAA